AUGUGCAUGCCCAGCUCGGUUCCUGUGAUUACAAUAGCAGAGAAAAGUAGUGACAAGGGUCAGAAGCAAAACCAGAGUGAAACAUACCAAUCAGAACAUGGUCAUCUGCAGCCAACUCUAAUUGUUAACGGCGAGGUGAUCCCCUGUUCUCUCAUACAUGUCCCCAAUGGCGAGGUUAGCUGCCAUUUGCCUUGGCCUCUUACUGGUCUGACCAAAGAUGUGGUGCUCCCCCCGCAUAGUGGCUCAAGGCCCUUUCUCUCAUUCUGUUGGUGUUACUGCCACGACGAAAGCACCAGCAGAUUACAGUCUCUUGUCCCUGAGAAUUUGCAAAACAAAAAGGACUUCAUCAAAUAA
rnacentral:rRNA from 1 species